CUUUUUGGCAAUGCUCAUCAUGAUUAAUCAGUACAAAUAAAAAUGCAAUAAAUGCUAUGAUACAACAUCAUAAUUUAUAGCAUUUUCAUUUGUAUAGUAUACUUUUGAACUUGACUUUUUAAUAUCUUAAUAAAUUACACUUCCUUAAUAUAGGCAUAACUUGCCUUAGUGAUCUGUUUAAUACAGUGCUUCUCAAUUAUAUUCCACAUUUUUGUUUUAUAUCUCAAAAUGAAAAUUUUUCUAUAAAAUACUUCUUAAAUGUUUAAAUACUAAUUAAUAAAUAGAUGGGCUGGGUUUGGAGCCAUCUGAAAAACUGAAGGUGAAAUCUGUAAUUGAACCUGGAUCCUCCAAGAUGAUACACGAGUUCUUUAAAAUGCAGCCAUCUGUCAGUUUUUAAGCCUAGUACUAAUAUGCUGUACUUAAUAGUAUGUUUGUUUUUAGGCUUUUAUAUGCAUUAGCAAAUGAAAAAGACAGUGAUUUACUUUACAGUGGUGAUGUGGAAUGUAGCUAUCAAAAUAAUGAGAUAUGUUUGUAUUUAUAUUCUAGAAAUUUCAUAUAUAACUAUAUAACUGCACUUGGGGCAAGUAUGAGUGGAUCUUUUUGUUUAUUCGUAUGGCGCUUUGGGACCUACUUCGGGUCCCUCUUCGGUAC
rnacentral:lncRNA from 1 species